rnacentral:rRNA from 1 species
ACGGGAGGCAGCAGUGGGGAAUAUUGGGCAAUGGGCGAAAGCCUGACCCAGCAACGCCGCGUGGAGGAAGAAGGUCUUCGGAUCGUAAACUCCUGUCCUUGGUGAAGAGGAGAAGACGGUAGCCAAGGAGGAAGCCCCGGCUAACUACGUGCCAGCAGCCGCGGUAAUACGUAGGGGGCAAGCGUUGUCCGGAAUGAUUGGGCGUAAAGGGCGCGUAGGCGGCCUGGUAAGUCUGAAGUGAAAGUCCUGGCUUUAAGUUGGGAAUUGCUUUGGAUACUGUCAAGCUAGAGUGCAGGAGAGGUAAGCGGAAUUCCUAGUGUAGCGGUGAAAUGCGUAGAUAUUAGGAGGAACACCAGUGGCGAAGGCGGCUUACUGGACUGUAACUGACGUUGAGGCUCGAAAGCGUGGGGAGCAAACAGGAUUAGAUACCCUGGUA